UAUGUGAGUCAGGUACCUGUGUGUAUGGGGUGCUUGCCGGUGAAGAGCGCGGCGCGGGAGGGCGUGCAGAUGGGGUUGACGUAGUAGUUGUGCAGGACGCGGCCGCUGUACGCCAGCGCGUCCAGGUUGUAUGUGAGUCAGGUACCUGUGUGUAUGGGGUGCUUGCCGGUGAAGAGCGCGGCGCGGGAGGGCGUGCAGAUGGGGUUGACGUAGUAGUUGUGCAGGACGCGGCCGCUGUACGCCAGCGCGUCCAGGUUGUAUGUGAGUCAGGUACCUGUGUGUAUGGGGUGCUUGCCGGUGAAGAGCGCGGCGCGGGAGGGCGUGCAGAUGGGGUUGACGUAGUAGUUGUGCAGGACGCGGCCGCUGUACGCCAGCGCGUCCAGGUUGUAUGUGAGUCAGGUACCUGUGUGUAUGGGGUGCUUGCCGGUGAAGAGCGCGGCGCGGGAGGGCGUGCAGAUGGGGUUGACGUAGUAGUUGUGCAGGACGCGGCCGCUGUACGCCAGCGCGUCCAGGUUGUAUGUGAGUCAGGUACCUGUGUGUAUGGGGUGCUUGUCGGUGAAGAGCGCGGCGCGGGAGGGCGUGCAGAUGGGGUUGACGUAGUAGUUGUGCAGGACGCGGCCGCUGUACGCCAGCGCGUCCAGGUUGUAUGUGAGUCAGGUACCUGUGUGUAUGGGGUGCUUGCCGGUGAAGAGCGCGGCGCGGGAGGGCGUGCAGAUGGGGUUGACGUAGUAGUUGUGCAGGACGCGGCCGCUGUACGCCAGCGCGUCCAGGUUGGGGGUGCCCACCUGGUUCAGCCCGUGGAAACCCACGUCAUUCCAACCCUGGAA